rnacentral:rRNA from 1 species
AUUGAACGCUGGCGGCAGGCCUAACACAUGCAAGUCGAGCGAGCGGCGGACGGGUGAGUAAUGUCUGGGAAACUGCCUGAUGGAGGGGGAUAACUACUGGAAACGGUAGCUAAUACCGCAUACCAUCGGAUGUGCCCCGAUGGGAUUAGCUAGUGGGUGGGGUAACGCCUCACAUAGGCGACGAUCCCUAGCUGGUCUGAGAGGAUGAGCAGCCAAACGGGAACUGAGACACGGUCCAGACUCCUACGGAGGGAAGCAUUGGGAAAUAUUCCACAAUGGGCGCAAUCCUGAUGCAGCCAUGCGGGGGGUAUGAAGAAGCCUUUCGGGUGGUAAGGUACUUUCAGCGGGGAGGCGUUACCCGAAGAGGAAGCACCGGCUAACUCCGUGCCAGCAGCCGCGGUAAUUC